ensembl:snRNA U6 U6 spliceosomal RNA
GUGCUCGCUUCAGCAGCACAUAUACCAAAAAAUUGGAACGAUACAGAGAAGAUUAGCAUGGCCGCUGCACAAAGAUGUCACACAAAUUUGUGAAGCAUUCCAUAUUUUU